rnacentral:rRNA from 1 species
UACGUAGGGUGCGAGCGUUGUCCGGAAUUAUUGGGCGUAAAGGGCUCGUAGGCGGUCUGUCGCGUCGAAAGUGAAAACCCAGGGCUUAACCCUGGGCCUGCUUCCGAUACGGGCAGACUAGAGGUAUGCAGGGGAGAACGGAAUUCCUGGUGUAGCGGUGAAAUGCGCAGAUAUCAGGAGGAACACCGGUGGCGAAGGCGUUUCUCUGGGCAUUACCUGACGCUGAGGAGCGAAAGCGUGGGGAGCGAACAGG